CGUGAAGGAUAACGUUGCGUCAGCAACGGCCCGGAGGGCGAGGCGAAGCCGAGUCAUCCUGCACGACCCACCA
rnacentral:sRNA from 1 species